ACCUCAAAGCUAGCCCCCAACUACAAAACAACAACCAACUAUAAAUACCCCCUUAUAAACUACAAGAAAGACAACCAAACCAUUUUCCCCCCUUAGUAUGGGCGACAGAAAAGGGACGACGGAGCAAUAGAGAAAGUACCGCAAGGGAAAGCUGAAAGAGAAGUGAAAUAACUCCACAAAGUAUAUAGAAGCAGAGACACAACCUCGUACUUU
rnacentral:rRNA from 1 species